ACGAACGCUGGCGGCGUGCUUAACACCUGCAAGUCGCACGCUGAAGCUUGGUGCUUGCACUGGGUGGAUGAGUGGCGAACGGGUGAGUAAUACGUGAGUAACCUGCCCUUGACUCUGGGAUAAGCCUGGGAAACUGGGUCUAAUACUGGAUACGACAUGUCACCGCAUGGUGGUGUGUGGAAAGGGUUUUACUGGUUUUGGAUGGGCUCACGGCCUAUCAGCUUGUUGGUGGGGUAAUGGCUCACCAAGGCGACGACGGGUAGCCGGCCUGAGAGGGUGACCGGCCACACUGGGACUGAGACACGGCCCAGACUCCUACGGGAGGCAGCAGUGGGGAAUAUUGCACAAUGGGCGGAAGCCUGAUGCAGCGACGCCGCGUGAGGGAUGACGGCCUUCGGGUUGUAAACCUCUUUCAGCACGGAAGAAGCGAAAGUGACGGUACGUGCAGAAGAAGCGCCGGCUAACUACGUG
rnacentral:rRNA from 1 species